ACUGCACCCCACACAACCAACUAUUCUUCCCCUUACACACCUAAGGGCAGUCAUUCUGGGGAGCCAAACUGGGCACACACCCUUCACCCCAAGGAGCCCCUUCAGCCACUUGGCCCUCUCUAGUGUUUGCCAAUGAAUCCUCUCCUUUCACGACCUUUCUUGUUUCCUCAAAAGCACUCCGUUCCACAGGAGCCAGUGGGCUCAACUCAGCUCAAACCACCACCCAGGGAAGAUCCACAGCCAUUGGUGCCAGCUCCAGGGGAGCCACUCAAGGAGACACCCAACAAGGAGCAGAGACCACAGUCACCAGGAGCAGAGAAGAAACCAUCAGCACCACAGGAGCCAGCGGCACAAAGGGCGCUGAAAUCACCCCCAAGGGAAGACCCACCACAGCACAAGGCACCAACUCCAAUGGGGCCAGUCAAGGUGAGUGGAGGAACAAAGACCUGCUGGCUCCUGCACUUCUUCCGGGGGAUGCUCCAAUCCUUGACAGAGUCCAGUGGCCUAGCAGAGCUGCUGGCUGCCCACUUUCUACAAUUCUCACCAAACUUUCUUCCUCAUCGCAAUUCCUUGCUGCCCACAGGUGCGACCACCCGCCAAGGAGCAGACAGCCUCCUCAAUGGGAGCACUCAAGGUGAGUCCCAAGUGAACACUUGACCCUGGCCAGCUCACCCCAUUCUCAGGCUUUGGGGGCCCCUUUGGCACUCUGACAAGGCACAUCCACAAAUCUCUUGCCCAUGCUGCCUUUGAUGACUUCCAGGACAUUUUUCCUGCUCCUCCUGCACCUCCUCCUGCACCUCCUCCUCCUCUUCUUCCUCCACCUUCUCCUCCUCGUCCUCAUCCUACUUUUGGCUUCCCCUGGACUUCUUAGCUUGUCCCUCAAGCUGCUCCCUCACUAGCUCUUGGGCACACCUCCAGCCUUUGCAUCCUUUCCCUUUUUGCUCUUUCCUCCCCAGCUUCUUGCUCACUCUCCCUACCUUCAAGGCUUCAGCUUCCUCUCACUGGCCCUUCCCAACUACCAAUGUCCACCACCAACAACAAGUCUCCACGUUUUCCCACCUUCC
rnacentral:lncRNA from 1 species